GAUAAGGACAAAUCCUACAGGCAUCUGGUAUCUCUCAGCAUGUCUUGGCAGGAGCAUCACAUCUUUGAGACCCAGAGAAAUAGGAAGAAACUUUUUCUGUGUUGUCACUGGGGAGCACUCAGACUUUUCUCCUUUUGUCCAUGGACGCUGUAUUCUCAACCCCACUUCCUGUCAACUCCAUUCAGUUUGUGCAAGUUCUAAGCUAGCAUGAAACAGUUACUGAAAGGAUAAAAGAAGGGCUGUUCAGAAGACUGGGAGUUUAGAGAUGAAGAGGAUAACCUCUGGUACUCUGGGUUUGAAUACUGGUUUUGUCUCAGAACAAUGUAAG
rnacentral:lncRNA from 1 species